rnacentral:sRNA from 1 species
UCGCCGCAUUGGAGAGAACAGGGUCCGAGUUCUGUUGUCGGCCAGGGAUGAUUCGUUGUACCACACCAACACAAACCGACAGCGACGGCCGUGCGGGUUCUGGCGGAGACUUCGGGGAAAGUGUUAGAACUGGAAGGUGUUGAUGUACUUGACGCCAGAAGUGGAGCAGUUUCGAGAUUUACAGUCAUAACAUCUUAUUCAUAAUGUCCCAACCUACACCAGGUGUCGUUUCAUCUUUUAUGUACAGAAACAAUCCUUGUGAUCUGUUUUCGUUCGGUUAUUAAGAGACAAAAAAACUGUGAAGACACCCAAGAUAAAUGAUGCAAAGAACACCUGUGAUUCGGAUUUUUAAAAAAUGCAGAGAAUUUUUUUGGCGUUGAAAAUACUCGAUUUGUUUAUCAUUGUAUACGUCUGGGAAUUUUGCAUUUUGUACACACUCAACCUUUGCCACGACUCCGGGCUCUUGUCUUGUUCUAUCGUAAAAGGUUCUUGCACCAAUGCUGGCACAGGACCAGGAUGCUACUGAUUUCGUUCAUUUGCAGAGGAAUUUUCUGCAUAAAAGAGAAAAACUUACCUGGCAGUUUCAUUGACCCUGAUUUUAGAAUUAACAUUAUUAUAUUCUCAUCAUCAUACAUAAAACUAUUAUAAAACUAUAAACAUUGUCAAUUUUCAAUUUCUGUUUGUCGAAGAUUAUAACAAAUUAGCUUGCGUAUUAUUAUCAUGUAUAUGUGUUAUGGGUAUUCUGUCAUUUGUAUUUUAAUGAAAUAGAUAUUUCUAAUGUCAAAAAUAAAUACUUGAAAUCGC